rnacentral:rRNA from 1 species
GUUCGUAAGAACAGGGUAUGACGGAGCGGCGAACGGGUGAGUAACACGUGAGCAACCUGCCCCACAGACCGGGAUAGCCCAGGGAAACCUGGAUUAAUACCGGAUAUCCUCGAACAUCCACAUGGUUGACCGAGGAAAGGCCUUUGUGCUGUGGGAUGGGCUCGCGGCUUAUCAGCUAGUUGGUGGGGUAACGGCCUACCAAGGCAUCGACGAGUAGCUGGUCUGAGAGGACGAUCAGCCACACUGGAACUGAGACACGGUCCAGACUCCUACGGGAGGCAGCAGCAGGGAAUCUUGCGCAAUGGGCGAAAGCCUGACGCAGCAACGCCGCGUGGGGGAUGAAGGCCUUCGGGUUGUAAACCCCUUUCAGGAGGGAAGAAAUUGACGGUACCUCCAGAAGAAGGACCGGCCAACUACGUGCCAGCAGCCGCGGUAAUACGUAGGGUCCUAGCGUUAUCCGGAAUCAUUGGGCGUAAAGAGCUCGUAGGCGGUUCAGCAAGUCGGCUGUGAAAGUCCGAGGCUCAACCUCGGAAUUGCAGUCGAUACUGCUGUGACUCGAGUCCGGUAGAGGAGAAUGGAAUUCUCGGUGUAGCGGUGAAAUGCGCAGAUAUCGAGAGGAACACCAGUAGCGAAGGCGGUUCUCUGGGCCGGUACUGACGCUGAGGAGCGAAAGCGUGGGGAGCAAACAGGAUUAGAUACCCUGGUAGUCCACGCCGUAAAC